ensembl:lncRNA
AUGUGCGCCGGCGCAUGUUUAAGAGUCUCUGCUAUUAAACUUUCUAUCUCCUUCUCCCCAAGACCAGCUUUCCAUUUCAUGACGGCAUCUGGAAUUAAACAGAGGUCACAGCCGUUACAGUAUGCUGUAGUGGCUCCAUACAUUGUUAGUGGCUACUGCACGCAUUACCCUCCUUACACACUCCCCUGGACUGGCCCCACUAAUAAGGCUGAGAUGGUGUGUCUGGAAGAAAACACCAUUUGUUGGCAUGCAGAUUUCUUUACCAUUUGAAUAUUCUGUUGCUGCCAUUGGGGAUGGUCUGGGAGGCUCUUCAACAUCUGCAAGCAAGUUGAAUACACAGUUGUUAAGCUUAAGUUGGAGGCCACAUAUUCUUCAGUCACAUCAAUUUAAAUUCUACCUUCAGGUAAAUCUUGUGAUGAGGGAACUGAAGGGUCACAGGUGGGAUGGUGGGAAGAUUCUGUGAAGGCUUUAGAUAUUUCAGUUUGUAGAGUAAAUUUCUAGUAUUUGCAUACAGUUAGGGGUGUGUGAUUGUGUUGUCUAUGACAAUAUCAUAAUUGUUGGUCGGUUACACGUGAAACGCAGAGACAGUGAAAAAGCAGAUGCAAUUAAUAUUGCUAUUUAAAUAUGACAGUCUCAUGACUCGUAAAAGAUUGGAAAUAUAGUUGCGAAUGGACUUUGCUUUUUCAUUUGAAAUUUGGCAGUCACUGUGCAACGGUAUUGCAAGAUAUGCAAUUGUGUUUGGAUUGUUAUAAUUUAUGCAUCCACAUAUGGAAAAUACAAGUUGCAAUUCCUUGUCCAGAAUAUCCUUCCAUAUAAUAUACCUCUGUAAAUAAUUAAUAUUUAAAUUUACGCCUCGCACACUUUAAUGCCGUUUGAAUGGGACAUGUACAUUCACUUCAGUCUGGAAUCAUGGCAGAAUAUCCUGUGAAGUCUACUUUACAGGGCACUUACGGUCAAAUAGAACAAACCUCUGAAGUGAUAAGCAAUACAUACAAAAUAUGCAGAGUGAGGGGUCAUGAAGAACAGGAUUAAGAACCGCUUAUUUAGACGUAUUCCAUUUAAAUUUUUUGCACAUUUAGGCACUUUUAAAUAAGACAAAAUUAAUUUGAUUGCCAUUGUUUUUACUGUGUACAGAAUAUGAAGAAUAUCAAAAGUGUACUCGCACAAAACAAACUCUAAAUACCGUCUUAUCAACAAAAUCCCAUGAAAUUAGAAUUGUAUAUCACACACCCCUAAAGUGUAUUUCUUUUUCAUAUGAUGCUUUAUUUGCUGUGGUAUUUUUGAAAAGUAAGUAAAAAAAGUUACUUGGUUGCAGCUUGGGUGGAACUGGAAGUUUAGCUGCUUCUGCUGUUGAAAUAUAAAAUGAUUUCUUUCUUUAUUAGAUGAAAUUUAACAUCAGCAAUUUUAUAUUUUCUUAUCAGAUUACUUUGAAGCACAUUUUUCCAGUUCUAACUUUAUUAGUCUUUAUUGAUAUUAGGAUUGUAGGAUGUGUAAACUAUUUGUAUUUCUUAUACAUGGUGGUUUUGAAGGCAACAUUCGCCAAAAAAAAAAAAAAAGAUUUUUAACUAGUCAAAAGUAAUUUGACUAUAGAAAAUCUUGUGGAGGGCCCUGUAAAAUCUGACAUAUGAAAUAAUAGUCAGGAAAAUCUUAAUUAUUAAAAAUUAAACUUGAUUCAGUUUUUGUAGUGUAGGCUUUUAUGGCUCAUAGUAUAAAAUAGGAAACUUUUAUAAUAUAAAAUAGGUCCAAACUGAGGAAAAAUUUUCAAUAUUGCGCAUUUGCUGAUAAUGAAAUGGCUAAAAUGUAAGAUGAAACUCUGAGCUUGUAAUGCAAAUCUGUAAGAUUGUGUAAAAAUAAAUAUAUUGAGUGUUAUAAGUGUUUACUGCCC